rnacentral:rRNA from 1 species
UGGGGAAUAUUGCACAAUGGGCGCAAGCCUGAUGCAGCCAUGCCGCGUGUAUGAAGAAGGCCUUCGGGUUGUAAAGUACUUUCAGUCGGGAGGAAGGUGGUAAGGUUAAUAACCUUAUCAAUUGACGUUACCGACAGAAGAAGCACCGGCUAACUCCGUGCCAGCAGCCGCGGUAAUACGGAGGGUGCAAGCGUUAAUCGGAAUUACUGGGCGUAAAGCGCACGCAGGCGGUUGAUUGAGUCAGAUGUGAAAUCCCCGGGCUUAACCCGGGAAUUGCAUCUGAUACUGGUCAGCUAGAGUCUUGUAGAGGGGGGUAGAAUUCCAUGUGUAGCGGUGAAAUGCGUAGAGAUGUGGAGGAAUACCGGUGGCGAAGGCGGCCCCCUGGACAAAGUCUGACGCUCAGGUGCGAAAGCGUGGGGAGCAAACAGG